rnacentral:rRNA from 1 species
GACGUAGGUGGCGAACGUUAUCCGGAAUUAUUGGGCGUAAAGGCUGCGUAGAUGGUGUAGUAAGUUAUCGGUGGUAAAUCGAGGCUCAACCUCGUGGAAGUCGGUAAUACUGCUAUGCUAGAGGAUAGGAGAGGUUAACGGAACUCCCUGUGGAGCGGUGAAAUGCGUAGAUAUAGGGAAGAACACCAAUCAGGCGAAGGCAGUUAACUAUUCUAUUCCUGACAUUGAGGCAUGAAAGCGUGGGGAGCAAAACGG